ACCGGUGACUCAGUCGGCGGGGCAGACAGGCCAGCGCAUCUGCACCACAGGAAGCCGCCUGCCGGCAUCUUCUCGGUUGUCGCACCCUCCUCACCUAGCCCUCUUCCCCGGCCCAAGAACCUCGCCUGGCCCACAUCGCAACAGCCCCCGCUCCACGUGGACGUAGGUGGAUGAGCGGGACCGAGCCGCCAAGCAGCAGUGCCAAUGCCACCGGGGCCUGUGUCCAUGCAGUCCCAGGUUGCAGCCGAUGUAGCUGCUGUCAGGCCUACUCGGGCAUGCGCCGCGCACGCACGGUUCGUGUGGCGCAGAGAACACGGAGAACAAGGCUGCACAGGAGAACCUACAAAGAGUUGCAGUCCUCAGGCAAUCCUAAGGUGCCAAAACCCAGCCCUAACCUGCAAUCGCUUGGGCCUCAUGCUCCCGGUUGCAGCUGAUCCAGCUGAGGCUUGCGGGGC
rnacentral:lncRNA from 1 species